GAUUCUCUAUCUCUUCUAUACAAAUUACGAUCUAAUUUUAAUACACAAUGAGGCCCGUUGUGUGCACUGAAAUGAAUGAAACGUUACUUUAGACUAGAGAUAUUGCUGAGGAUGUGGGGAUAUACUGCGGGUGAAUAUAUCACCAGACGCGCUUGAUGAGUUGUGUUCUUUGUAAUCAUGUUAUAGUUUUGCUAAACUGUUCUUUAUUCAUUCUAAUAUAAAAAAAAGAUGAAAUAAAAUGGAAACUACGUACUGUAUUGAAACUUUAAAUGUUUUAUUGUACUUUGACCUUUUCUUUAAUUU